GACGAACGCUGGCGGCGUGCUUAACACAUGCAAGUCGAACGGAAAGGCCCUGCUUUUGUGGGGUGCUCGAGUGGCGAACGGGUGAGUAACACGUGAGUAACCUGCCCUUGACUUUGGGAUAACUUCAGGAAACUGGGGCUAAUACCGGAUAGGAGCUCCUGCUGCAUGGUGGGGGUUGGAAAGUUUCGGCGGUUGGGGAUGGACUCGCGGCUUAUCAGCUUGUUGGUGGGGUAGUGGCUUACCAAGGCUUUGACGGGUAGCCGGCCUGAGAGGGUGACCGGCCACAUUGGGACUGAGGUACGGCCCAGACUCCUACGUGAGGCAGCAGUGGGGAGUAUUGCACAAUGGGCGGAAGCCUGAUGCAGCAACGCCGCGUGCGGGAUGACGGCCUUCGGGUUGUAAACCGCUUUCGCCUGUGACGAAGCGUGAGUGACGGUAAUGGGUAAAGAAGCACCGGCUAACUACGUG
rnacentral:rRNA from 1 species